rnacentral:lncRNA from 1 species
GCGCCGCCCGCGGGCUCCGGCGGCAGUGGGACCCGCGAGAGGGCACCAUGCCGCGCUCCUUCCUGGUGAAGACGCACUCCGGCCACAGGGUCCCCAACUACGGGCAGCUGGAGACGCAGAGAGGUGAGAAGCCCUACACCUGCCCUCACUGCAGCCGGGCGUUCGCCGACCGCUCCAACCUGCGGGCCCAUCUGCACACGCACUCGGCCACCAAGAGAUACCAGUGCAAGGGCUGCUCCAAGACCUUCUCCCGCGUGGCGCUCCUGGCGCGGCACGAGGAGUCCGGCUGCUGCCCUGGGCCCUGAGCCGCUGCUCUUCCCUGCCCACGGGAGGCCUCUCUAGGGGAAGACUCCUGUCCAGAUGAGAACGGAUAUUCUGUUUACCACCAGCCCCGGGCUUCGGCUCUGUUCCUCCCGGUUUCAGCCUGCUGGGGGCCGGCCCUGGACGCCCCCUCCUCCAGACCAGCGGUUGCCCUCGGGGCCAGCACCUCCCUGGGGUCCACUCACGUGGGCAGAGCUCCCUGGAUGCUCACCUCCACCUGCCUUUGACGGCAUCUGGGCCCGGCUGUGUCAUGUCACCCACGCAGAGGCCUGCCCGAGACACACACAUUAGGCCGUCCUGAAUGGAACGGCUGCGGGGGUGGUUCUGGGGCGCAAAGAGCCCCGCCCUCUGAGGCCGAUCCUUGCCCAGGCCCUGGGGUCGGGGUGGAGGCUGAGGCCCGACCCCUCCCGAGGGAGUGGGACUCCGGACAAUCGGACUCAGAGCAGGGGAAGCCGAGGGGUAAGGGCCUCAAGGGCUGUGCACUCCUGGGACGGGGAGCCCUGGUGAGCGGGGUCUCCCCUCGGAAGGAAGGCGGGACGGGGGGGUGGGGAGGGCACGAGACGGGAGCCGAGGCCACGUGUGUCCCUGGCAGGACUUCACCUCCCCAGAGUCUGUCCCACACCUGCAGCCUCCCCAGUGACCAGCCCGCACACGGGCUCCCUCAGCCGCCCCCCGGGGCUGGAGCAUCCCCCAACCAGCGAGCGACGGACCUCGGACCUGGCCUGAGACACCCGCCCUCCCAAACCAACUCAGACGCCAAGACCCUAUUUCCUUCUCGUAGGUGGCCAUCCCUUGGCCCCCGCUGGGCUGGUCCUGCCUCUUGCCAGCCUGUCUGCGGGCGGACCCUGGAGGGAGGCCUGAGUCUAAGGGAGACUGGCCGAGUCCUCGAUGCUGGGCGGGGACCCCUGCUCCUCUCCACAGGGUCCACCUGGGUCCCCCCACGGAUCCCUCCCCAUCUGUCAGGGGCCAAGGGGCCCUGGGUGGCUGGUUUGAUGAUGGCCAUCGGAGGGAGCCUGGGGACAUCCCAGAGGAAAGCUGACCUUGACAGUGGGCGUCUCUGGACCAAGGGUGACCUUGAUGAAACAGCACUGAGGAGAGUCCUGCUCCAGCCUAGGCCACGCCAAAUGUGACGCUGGAAAGGAGACCCUCCCUGAGGAAGCCACACGUGCGCCCAGCCUCCCCGGAGGGAAGAAGAGCAGACACUGGAGCCUGAGCUGCCGUGUGGGUGUCCUGGGCCGGUGUGACAGGCCCACAGGCCAGAGGCCGUAAACUGCAGAAACCUACUCUCCCAGGCCUGGAGCCGGGACCGGAGACAGAGGGGCGGCCGCCGGUUCCUCCCCGGGCCAGGAGGGUCUGUCCCCGGCCUCGCCCAGGUCCUGCGUUCGCCGGCUCCUCGAUGUUGUGGGGCUCGUAGAAGCGUCACCCCACCUCUGCCUCCAUCUUCACCAGGCGUCUCCCCGUGGGCGUGUCUGUGUCCAGUUUCCCCUUUUUCUAAGGACACCCGUGGUCCUGGGGGAACACCCACCCCCGUGACCUCACCUCGACCCGCACAAGGACCCGGGUUCCAAGUGAGGCCGCCUUCUCCGGUGUUGGGGGGGUUAGGACUUCGGUAUAUAAGUGGGGACACCACUCACCCUGUAAUGGCCAAGAGGUGCCAGGCGGGCCCCUGUGCUUUGGGCUGGGAACCCCAAGCCACAAAGGAGGGAGCGGGUGGUGAUUUUAGGACAGAUUUGCUACUAACCUCCUCCAAAGGGAGUGAGAGCCCACCCCAGCCCCUCUUGAGUGGCCAGUACCCCCCCGCUGUCCUGCUCAGGGACCCCGGGGGGUAAGGAAGGCUCUGGCCUGCGGGGAGAGCCUCCCACAGUCCCCUGAAGUGCCCGGGCCUCGGCUGAGCGGGUGGGCAGCCCAGGGCUAAGCUCCAAAUGUGUGUGUCCGACCAUCUCACUGGGUGGCUUUUUUUUUUUUUUUUUUCGUGGCAUCCAGAUGCCAGAAGGAAGCUCUAUUGUAAACUGUGUUCUAUUUCUGAGCCCCAACAUCUAAAAGAAGCGAUGCACCUGUCGGGGAUGGAGGAAGGGAAUUUCACAGGCCUAAAAUAAAGUCCAUGUUUGCCCUUC